rnacentral:rRNA from 1 species
AUUGAACGCUGGCGGCAUGCCUUACACAUGCAAGUCGAACGGUAACGGGCCUUCGGGUGCCGACGAGUGGCGAACGGGUGAGUAAUGCAUCGGAACGUACCUUUCAGUGGGGGAUAACGUAGCGAAAGUUACGCUAAUACCGCAUAUUCUGUGAGCAGGAAAGCAGGGGAUCGCAAGACCUUGCGCUGAUUGAGCGGCCGAUGUCAGAUUAGCUAGUUGGUGAGGUAAAGGCUCACCAAGGCGACGAUCUGUAGCGGGUCUGAGAGGAUGAUCCGCCACACUGGAACUGAGACACGGUCCAGACUCCUACGGGAGGCAGCAGUGGGGAAUUUUGGACAAUGGGGCGAACCCUGAUCCAGCCAUGCCGCGUGAGUGAAGAAGGCCUGUGU